CUCGUAGGCUGUUUGGUCAGUCAGACGUGAAAGCCCACGGCUCAACCGUGGAACUGCGUUUGAUACUGCCAGACUUGAGUGUCGGAGAGGGUGGCGGAAUUCCGGGUGUAGGAGUGAAAUCCGUAGAUAUCCGGAGGAACACCAGUGGCGAAGGCGGCCGCCUGGACGACAACUGACGCUGAGGAGCGAAAGCGUGGGGAGCAAACAG
rnacentral:rRNA from 1 species